CUGACCGUAAACUAUGCCAUCUAGCGAGUUUCGGGUGGAUUUUUUUGCCCUUGAAACGAGCUUCCCGGAAACGAAAGUCUUUCGGUUCCGGGGGAAGUAUGGUUGCAAAGCUGAAACUUAAAGGGAUUGACGGAAGGUCCCCCCCAGAAAUGGGGCCUGCGGUUUAAUUUGACUCAACACGGGAAAACUCACCCGGUCCGGACACUAUAAGGAUUGACAGACCGAUAGCUCUUUCAUGAUUUGGUGGUUGGUGGUGCAUGGCCGUUCUUAGUUCGUGGAGUGAUUUGUCUGGUUUAUUCCGAUAACGAACGAGAUUAUAGCCUAGUUAAAUAGUCAAUUGAUUAUAAUUGUCGAUUGACUUCUUAUCGGGAUAUGCGGUUUUUAACCGUACGAAACUUAGCAAUAACAGGUCUGUGAUGCCCUUAGAUGUCCGGGGCUACACGCGCGCCACAAUGGACUGUUCAGUCCGUUGUUUCCAUGUUCGAGAGGACUUGGUAAGCGUGUCAAAUUAGUCCGUAUUUGGGCUCGGACAUUGCAAUUAUUCUCCUUAAACAAGGAAUUUCAAGUAAGUGAAGCACAGCUACCGG
rnacentral:rRNA from 1 species